rnacentral:rRNA from 1 species
GACGAACGCUGGCGGCGUGCUUAACACAUGCAAGUCGAGCGGUAAGGCCCUUUCGGGGGUACGACGAGCGGCGAACGGGUGAGUAACACGUGGGUGACCUGCCCUUAGCUCUGGGAUAAGCCUGGGAAACGUGGGUCGUAAUACCGGAUAUGACUCCAUAACGCAUGUUGUGGGGUGGAAAGCCUUGUGCGGCUAGGGAUGGGCCCGCGGCCUAUCAGCUUGUUGGUGGGGGUGAUGG